AGAGAGAUACGAAGCGCGCGCGCGCGCGCGCGCACGAAAGGAAGAAAGAAUGAGAAGCCGGGGGACGGGGACGCUCGCGAACCGGUUGCUCGCGAGUCAAAAAGGUGCGACCGGGUCAGGCCAAGCUCGAAUACACGCGGCAUUUUCGUGUGUAGUACUGCCGCGCGUUGUGAACGCGCCACGAUAAACCCGGGAUAAGGUGAAGAGAAGCGAAGCGAAGAGAAGAGAGUACACAAUUUCGUACAAUUGUCUGAAUCGCUGUAAAUAUCGGAUGAAGUACGGAGACGCAAGCGUUUGUUAUGACAUCGACUCUACUUUGUCUUGGGUACAUAUGAGUGCAUUUGUUUGUGUUUCACGCCACGUGCCUCGAUCCACAUCAUUUGCAUGUUACCCCACUCUUGUUUGCGUGUUCCAAUACCGUUUUGGAGAUACCUACGCACACAAAGAGCCGGCGGGAAUUCGCUCUAGUACUCUACUGUUUAGGGUUAAGCUCGGUUUGAUUCUACCCUACGGGAUGCGCGCGUCCACGCGCUCUCUAUUGAUUCCAUGACCCGAAGCGGCGAGCCAAUUUGUCGAAGGGAAGCGCGCUUUUCUUAGGUGGAACAUCUCGCCCGAGAAAAGAGAAGGGAUUCUUUUCUCCCGCCUGUGAGAACAACGCCCGCAAGAACAUUCUUCGUGCCUUUCGUCGAGUUCACCUGAGCACAAUUGGGAAAUCAGUCUCGAAAUCUUCGAAUCAUACAUUAUUCAUCGAACAUUCGUGAGACCUUCUCUCGACGAAGCUUUUCAGUUAUUUCGGUUCCUACGGAUGAAUCACAUGACGCUUUUCACCGCUUUGACCGAUGCGCCCGGCCGCACAAUCGAUAGUCCAUUCUCUCGCGAUGUACAUUAAUGUAUAAUAAUCCAUGACACGACGGAGUUCAUCUUUUCAAACCCGAUAACACGCCUGCCCUCAAGAACUUAAUGUACCGUUUCAAUAUGCAGAUUAUUUAAUGGGUUUCUUUACGCUUCGCGCGCGCGCGCGCGCCUCCGUGCCGCGGACUUUGCGUCGCGAAAACGCAAUACUCCACAUAUCCUUGGGGCGGUAUUUAUUCGGGGCGCUAUUAAUAAGCGUAUUCGUAUGUAGGCCCCACUGGAAAUACAUCGUCGACCGUCGCCAGUGUAUUUCCAUUUCUAAUUCUGAUCCCUCCCCUCCCCAUGCUCCCUCUCACUCUCUCUGCCUCUCUCUUUCUUUCUGGCUCUCCUUGUUUCUCUUUCCUCCUCUUCUUCUUUUGUCUUUCUUCGCCCAUGCGUGCGUGCGUGCGUGCGUGCGUGUGUGUGUAUGUCGCGAGAGCAUAAGCACGAGUUACCGCGUCUUGGGAACCUAGACCCAAAAGUGCACGGUGAAGUGCACCUUAAUAAGAGCGACACCGGCGCGAGGUGGAAUUCAGUCCAGCGAAAUGAAAAUUUAGAUGCGCGCCGCUAUCUUUAGCAGUCGACCGACACAGCAGUGGCAAAAGUGUUGCCACCGGCGAAUAUAGGUUACUGUCGUCGGAAUAGAUCGCGGUCGGGGCACGGAGCGCGUCCGCCGCCGGUACACGGUGAAAACGCGGGCUCGUCGGCCCUUAUCGGCUACCUAGUUUUCGAGACGGGCGCCUCGUGGAAUGGUGUUGUAUCGAACGUACGCAUGAUAAUUCUCGUUAUGAUCGACAAGGCAAAUAUCCCUAAUUUAUCGCGACCGGCGCUUACGUAAAGACCCCGAAAGAGGAAGGAAGGGAGACGCGAUCGCCGCGAAUUUCAGCCUCGACGGAAGCGCGUGGGAGACAGCCAAAGAGGGAGAGAGAGAGAGAGAAAAGAGAGUAAGCGAGCGAGCGAGCAAGAGAGAGAGAGAGAGAGCGAAAAGGAGGGUGGAACAAAGAAAGUGAGAGAGGGGAAAGGGAGAGAAAGGAAACGUGCGCACGAGGCAGUCAGGCAGAGCGAGAGUGAGAGAGAGAGAGAGAGAGACUAUUCCCUAUUCUUCUCUCGCUGCAAGCGCACGCGUAUAUGUCGGACGUUUGCUUUCCCCUGUGAAAGUUCCGUCGAAAACGGUCCGCGUGCGGAUCUGGAGGUACACCCGGGGACCGAAGUCGGUUUCGUCGAAAGAUGCUCGGAAGGAGGCAUCUGGCCGCCUGGCCGCCUCACCUGCGCACGGUGCACGGCAGCUGCCGCUCGCCCGCUCCGGUUAUCUUCGUGCUUACGUGGACUGCCGGCACGUGUGCCAGAACAAAAAAUUUAUUUACGGAACAGGCGGGCGGGCGGGCACGUUGCUGCAAGCGUGGCACGGCCAAAAACUUGCGCCCGCGCGACCACGAUUAAUAAUAAUUUAUUUCGCCGAACGUAUGUCCCCUUAGGUCUCCCGAGAGGUUUCUGUUGGAAAAGUACAUUAUUUUUGGAAUGCACGGUCCUAAUAUCUUUGGCAUUGCGUUUUUCUUACGAAAAAGUGUCGAGAAUCUUUAACUUUAUUCUCCGACAUGAACUCUGUAUUGCAUUAUCGUUCGACGAAAUGUUCUAUUAUUGAAUUUUAUUUGUGAUUGCAUUCUUAAUUGGUGAUGAUAGAAGUUAUCUCCCUCCGGGAUUUGCAGAAGAAAACCAUUUUUGUGCGCAUUAGCAAUGUAAUGAGUUUUAUAUUUUUAUUGGUUUAUUUAAAGAGAAGUUGAAAUGAAAUCUCUGAACGACCGCCAGUCUCGUUUUAUCGAUGUAACAUCAAAACAAAUACACAAAGAUAUUUUUAUGUGUGCGCAUAAA
rnacentral:lncRNA from 1 species